CAGCCGUAAACUAUGCUCGCUAGGUGUCAGGCAUGGCGCGACCGUGUCUGGUGCCGCAGGGAAGCCGUGAAGCGAGCCACCUGGGAAGUACGGCCGCAAGGCUGAACUUAAGGAUUGGCGGGGAGCACAACAACGGGUGGAGCCUGCGGUUUAAUGGACUCAACGCCGGACAACUCACCGGGAACGACAGCAAUAUGUAGGCCAGGCUGAAGACCUUGCCUGAAUCGCUGAGAGGAGGUGCAUGGCGUAGACGUCU
rnacentral:rRNA from 1 species